rnacentral:snoRNA from 1 species
GCAUCAUGAGCAGCAGGACCUUGGUUGGUAUAACCCUUGAAACGCUCUCAUGCUUCAUAGAAGCUUUCACCAGCCUUCUGUAAAACCCAGAGAUCUCAUUUCUGAGUCU